rnacentral:rRNA from 1 species
UACGAAGGGGGCGAGCGUUGUUCGGAUUUACUGGGCGUAAAGGGCGCGCAGGCGGCAGACCAAGUCAGGCGUGAAAGCCCCGGGCUUAACCUGGGAACUGCGCUCGAAACGGGAUGACUAGAGAUCGGGAGAGGAGAGUGGAAUUCCCAGUGUAGAGGUGAAAUUCGUAGAUAUUGGGAAGAACACCGGGUGGCGAAGGCGGCUCUCUGGACCGAUACUGACGCUGAGGCGCGAAAAGCGUGGGGAACAAACAGG